rnacentral:rRNA from 1 species
GAUGAACGCUGACAGAAUGCUUAACACAUGCAAGUCAACUUGAAUUUGGGUUUUUAACUUAGGUUUGGGUGGCGGACGGGUGAGUAACGCGUAAAGAACUUGCCUCACAGCUAGGGACAACAUUUGGAAACGAAUGCUAAUACCUAAUAUUAUGAUAAUAGGGCAUCCUAUAAUUAUGAAAGCUAUAAGCGCUGUGAGAGAGCUAUGCGUCCCAUUAGCUAGUUGGAGAGGUAACGGCUCACCAAGGCGAUGAUGGGUAGCCGGCCUGAGAGGGUGAUCGGCCACAAGGGGACUGAGACACGGCCCUUACUCCUACGGGAGGCAGCAGUGGGGAAUAUUGGACAAUGGACCGAGAGUCUGAUCCAGCAAUUCUGUGUGCACGAUGAAGUUUUUCGGAAUGUAAAGUGCUUUCAGUUGGGAAGAAAAAAAUGACGGUACCAACAGAAGAAGUGACGGCUAAAUACGUGCCAGCAGCCGCGGUAAUACGUAUGUCACGAGCGUUAUCCGGAUUUAUUGGGCGUAAAGCGCGUCUAGGUGGUUAUAUAAGUCUGAUGUGAAAAUGCAGGGCUCAACUCUGUAUUGCGUUGGAAACUGUAUAACUAGAGUACUGGAGAGGUAAGCGGAACUACAAGUGUAGAGGUGAAAUUCGUAGAUAUUUGUAGGAAUGCCGAUGGGGAAGCCAGCUUACUGGACAGAUACUGACGCUGAAGCGCGAAAGCGUGGGUAGCAAACAGG